rnacentral:rRNA from 1 species
UUAAAUUGAAGAGUUUGAUCAUGGCUCAGAUUGAAUGCUGGCGGCAGGCCUAACACAUGCAAGUCGAACGGUAACAGGAAACAGCUUGCU